rnacentral:tRNA from 1 species
GUGCCUGUGGCUCAGUGAGUAGGGCACCGGGCCCAUAUAUCGAGGGUGGUGGGUUCAAACCCGCCCGGCCACA